rnacentral:rRNA from 1 species
AUUGAACGCUGGCGGCAUGCCUUACACAUGCAAGUCGAACGGUAACGCGGGGCAACCUGGCGACGAGUGGUGAACGGGUGAGUAAUGCAUCGGAACGCGCCCAGUUGUGGGGGAUAACUGCUCGAAAGAGCAGCUAAUACCGCAUACGACCUGAGGGUGAAAGCGGGGGAUCGCAAGACCUCGCGCAAUUGGAGCGGCCGAUGUCGGAUUAGCUAGUUGGUGGGGUAAAGGCCCACCAAGGCGACGAUCCGUAGCUGGUCUGAGAGGACGACCAGCCACACUGGGACUGAGACACGGCCCAGACUCCUACGGGAGGCAGCAGUGGGGAAUUUUGGACAAUGGACGCAAGUCGGAUCCAGCCAUGCCGCGUGCGGGAAGAAGGCCUUCGGGUUGUAAACCGCUUUUGUCAGGGAAGAAAUCUUCUGGGUUAAUACCUCGGGAGGAUGACGGUACCUGAAGAAUAAGCACCGGCUAACUACGUGCCAGCCGCCGCCGUAACAC